ACGCGCGGAACCUUACCAGGUCUUGACAUCCUUCGCCACUUCUAGAGAUAGAAGGUUCCCCUUCGGGGGACGAAGUGACAGGUGGUGCAUGGUUGUCGUCAGCUCGUGUCGUGAGAUGUUGGGUUAAGUCCCGCAACGAGCGCAACCCUUGAUCUUAGUUGCCAGCAUUCAGUUGGGCACUCUAAGGUGACUGCCGGUGACAAACCGGAGGAAGGUGGGGAUGACGUCAAAUCAUCAUGCCCCUUAUGACCUGGGCUACACACGUACUACAAUGGCCAGUACAACGGGAAGCGAAGCCGCGAGGUGGAGCGAAUCCUAAAAAGCUGGUCUCAGUUCGGAUUGCAGGCUGCAACUCGCCUGCAUGAAGUCGGAAUUGCUAGUAAUCGCGGAUCAGCAUGCCGCGGUGAAUACGUUCCCGGGUCUUGCACUCACCGCCCGU
rnacentral:rRNA from 1 species